AUUGAACGCUGGAGGCAGGCCUAACACAUGCAAGUCGAACGAGUGGCGGACGGGUGAGUAAUGUCUGGGAACCUGCCCGAUGGAGGGGGAUAACUACUGGAAACGGUAGCUACUCCCGCAUACCCUCGGAUGUGCACAGAUGGGAUUAGAUUGUAGGUGGGGUAACGGCUAAACAAGGCGACGAUCCCUAGCUGGUCUGAGAGGAUGACCAGCCACACUGGAACGGAGACACGGUCCAGACUCCUACGUGAGGCAGCAGUGGGGAAUAUUGCACAAUGGGCGCAAGCCUGAUGCAGCCAUGCCGCGUGUAUGAAGAAGGCCUUCGGGUUGUAAAGUACUUUCAGCGAGGAGGCGUUACUCGCAGAAGAAGCACCGGCUAACUCCGUGCCAGCAGCCGCGGUAAUAC
rnacentral:rRNA from 1 species